GAAAGAAAAGCAAAUGCCGGAUUAUCAAGAGGACGAAAGUAGAAUGUCCUAAAAGUAGAUUCUCUGGUCCAGUCUGCCGCUCGUAAAAUGUCCGAAAGGGACGCGCCUGCCGCAUAAGCGGAAGAGGCUGCUGCCCCACGAACGGAGUGUGCUCCAAAAGUUUGGUCAAUACCGGCAAGGGAUAGUAGCCAUCUAACCCAUCUGGCCAGUGUAGUAACCGAAACCGGACCAUAAGGGCGGACGUAAGAGAUGAGAAGCUGAUGAGUGGAAGGCUGCCGCAACGUCGCGGUGGCUUCCACGUAUUGACGGAGGGUUGAGACCACGCAGAGUUGAGGGUCAG